GGUAGUCCACGCCCUAAACGAUGAACACUCGAUGUUGGCGAUAUACUGUCAGCGUCUAAGCGAAAGCGUUAAGUGUUCCACCUGGGGAGUACGCCCGCAAGGGUGAAACUCAAAGGAAUUGACGGGGGCCCGCACAAGCGGAGGAGCAUGUGGUUUAAUUCGAUGAUACGCGAGGAACCUUACCCGGGCUUGAAAGUUAGUGAAUGUGACAGAGACGUCACAGUCCUUCGGGACACGAAACUAGGUGCUGCAUGGCUGUUGUCAGCUCGUGCCGUGAGGUGUUGGGUUAAGUCCCGCAACGAGCGCAACCCCUAUGUUUAGUUGCCAGCACGUCAAGGUGGGGACUCUAAACAGACUGCCUAUGCAAAUAGAGAGGAAGGAGGGGACGACGUCAAGUCAUCAUGGCCCUUACGUCCGGGGCUACACACGUGCUACAAUGGAUGGUACAGCGGGCAGCUACCUGGCAACAGGAUGCCAAUCUCGUAAAGCCAUUCACAGUUCGGAUCGGGGUCUGCAACUCGACCCCGUGAAGUUGGAUUCGCUAGUAAUCGCGUAUCAGCAAUGACGCGGUGAAUACGUUCCCGGGCCUUGUACACACCGCCCGUCAAGCCAUGGAAGCUGGAAGUACCUGAAGUCGGUAACCGCAAGGAGCCGCCUAGGGUAAAGUCGGUAACUGGGGCUAAGUCGUAACAAGGUAGCCGUACCGGAAGGUGU
rnacentral:rRNA from 1 species